ACGCUCGACACCUACGUGAGGCAGCAGUCGGGAAUAUUGCGCAAUGGAGGAAACUCUGACGCAGUGACGCCGCGUGCAGGAAGAAGGUUUUCGGAUUGUAAACUGCUUUAGACAGGGAAGAAAGAAAUGACAGUACCCGUAGAAUAAGCUCCGGCUAACUACGUGUCAGCAGCCGCGGUAAUCUGAGCGGGCUGGCAAGGC
rnacentral:rRNA from 1 species